rnacentral:lncRNA from 1 species
GAAGUAAAACUCAGUGAUUUAACUAAACUACUCUCUUUUAAACAGGACCCUCCACUUUUCCACUAGUUUGUCCACCGGUGAAAAGGAGAAGCCAGCCAAGAACCAGCAGCUUCUGGCUACCUUGAUCAGAAGGUUGAUGAAGGCAAUGAAACAGAGAUGGAAAAACACAUCACACAGGCCCUUACCAGAUGCCAGCAUCUUGAUAUUGGACUUCCUAGCCUUCAGAACUAUAAGGCUCCAGUCAAGCAACCCACCUUAUCAAGUGGACCAGGCACAGCUCUUACUUAUCUCUGAGUAGUGGGUAUCAGUUUCCUGCUAACCUCGGAAUUGUUCAAAGACCAUCACAUUCUCCUGCAGGAACCAGGGGGCACCUCACCCUCUUGUUGCUACAAAGGUUGCCACCCACAGCCCGUGCCUGUUCAC